GGUGUUUAUGUUCUUAGAGAAAAGCAAAGCAAUACUCUAUGACGCGCUUAAUCUUUGUUCCACGCGUCUCGAUUCCUUUUAACAAAAUAUUCGUCGUAUUACGCGGAUCCUGCGAGUGUAUUUAUGAGUAUAGUUUCAGCUUCGAUUAACGGCACGAGGUUUUCACACUGACUGAGAAUAAUGCAACGUCUAUCCUGUAUACUCUUGCGUGAUAUGAUCAUUGACUAUUUGGCAAAUACAUUGACCGUUAAUCUGACAUUACAUGGAACUUCGUGUCUCACGUUCUGGAACAUCGACUCCGGAAAAAAUCAGUUCUUCUGCUCUUACGCUGUCUGCGAUUCGCCAAAAGAGAACACAGGAGUAAUGUAUAUUCAACUUCAAUUUAAUUUCGACUCAAUCGAGAGCAAUAAAGCCAGUAGCUAUGAAAGAAUCUUCGUUUGUUACACGUAUAAACGCAGACGGGUAUCUAAUGAAUUUUUUAUGAUUCAUAAAAGAAGAUUACGACGUUGGUUAGUUACGAAUGGAAUUAAUAUUAAAUUUUCAUUAUGAGAUUGCGAAGGGUAUAAUUGCAAUACGAAUACCUCUACAAUAGUUGUCCACGCUGACAGAGAAUUAAAUGUAGAAUUUAACAUAUCGUACACCGCACUUGAUGAAAUAGAAUGAUAACUUUCGAACACGAUACUUUACUAAGAAACAACUACGAGGUAGAUGUCCAUGAUUAUGCAGAAAUCGAUGAAACUAUCCAACAAGUGCUCCAACUAUACAUGAUACCUUACUUAUGUAUGUAUGAAAGAUGACCUUACUUAUGUAUUUUUCAAAUAAAUUAUUAGUGCGAUGGUGUACAAAAAUAUUC